GACGACCGCUGGCGGCGUGCCUAAUACAUGCAAGUAGCACGCAGUUGUGAACGGGUGCGUAACGCGUAGGUAACUGCCUGGUAGUGGGGGAUAACUAUUGGAAACGAUAGCUAAUACCGCAUACUACCAGAUGGACCUGCGUUGUAUUAGCUAGUUGGUGGGGUAACGGCCCACCCAGGCAACGAUCCAUAGCCGACCUGAGAGGGGGAUCGGCCACACUGGAACUGAGACACGGCCCAGACUCCUACGGGAGGCAGCAGUGGGGAAUCUUCGGCAAUGGACGCAAGUCUGACCAAGCAACGCCGCGUGGAUGAAGAAGGUUUUCGGAUCGUAAAGCUCUGUGGUAAGAGAAGCGGUAUCUUACCAGAAAGGGACGGCUAACUACGUGCCAGCCGCCGCGGUAAUAC
rnacentral:rRNA from 1 species